UACGGAGGAGGCCAGCGUUAUCAGGAAUUAUUGGGCGUAAAGCGUCCGUAGGGGGUGGGCGAAGUCUGCUGUCAAAGGGUGGGGCUUAACCUCAUAAAGGCAGGGGAAACUGGCGAGCUAGAGUGCGGUAGGGGUAUGGGGAAUUCCCAGUGUAGCGGUGAAAGGCGUAGAGAUUGGGAAGAACAUCGGUGGCGAAAGCGCCCUGCUGGGCCUGCGCUGACACUGAGGGACGAAAGCUCGGGGAGCGAAAGGG
rnacentral:rRNA from 1 species